rnacentral:rRNA from 1 species
GCUGCUCCCUGAUGUUAGCGGCGGACGGGUGAGUAACACGUGGGUAACCUGCCUGUAAGACUGGGAUAACUCCGGGAAACCGGGGCUAAUACCGGAUGCUUGAUUGAACCGCAUGGUUCAAUUAUAAAAGGUGGCUUUUACCUACCACUUACAAAUGGACCCGCGGCGCAUUACCUAUUUGGUGAGGUAACGGCUCACCAAGGCAACAAUGCGUACCCAACCUGAAAGGGUGAUCGGCCACACUGGGACUGAAACACGGCCCAAACUCCUACGGGAGGCAGCAUUAGGGAAUCUUCCGCAAUGGACAAAAGUCUGACGGACCACCGCCCCGUGAGUGAUGAAGGUUUUCGGAUCGUAAAACUCUGUUGUUAGGGAAGAACAAGUACCGUUCGAAUAGGGCGGUACCUUGACGGUACCUAACCAGAAAGCCACGGCUAACUACGUGCCAGCAGCCGCGGUAAUACGUAGGUGGCAAGCGUUGUCCGGAAUUAUUGGGCGUAAAGCGCGCGCAGGCGGUUUCUUAAGUCUGAUGUGAAAGCCCCCGGCGUCAACCGGGGAGGGUCAUUGGAAACUGGGGAACUUGAGUGCAGAAGAGGAGAGUGGAAUUCCACGUGUAGCGGUGAAAUGCGUAGAGAUGUGGAGGAACACCAGUGGCGAAGGCGACUCUCUGGUCUGUAACUGACGCUGAGGCGCGAAAGCGUGGGGAGCGAACAGGAAUAGAUACCCUGGUAGUCCAACGCCGUAAACGAUGAGUGCUAAGUGUUAAAGGGUUUUCCGCCCUUUAGUGCUGCAGCAAACGCAUUAAGCACUCCGCCUGGGGAGUACGGUCGCAAGACUGAAACUCAAAGGAAUUGACGGGGGCCCGCACAAGCGGUGGAGCAUGUGGUUUAAUUCGAAGCAACGCGAAGAACCUUACCAGGUCUUGACAUCCUCUGACAACCCUAGAGAUAGGGCUUCCCCUUCGGGGGCAGAGUGACAGGUGGUGCAUGGUUGUCGUCAGCUCGUGUCGUGAGAUGUUGGGUUAAGUCCCGCAACGAGCGCAACCCUUGAUCUUAGUUGCCAGCAUUCAGUUGGGCACUCUAAGGUGACUGCCGGUGACAACCGGAGGAAGGUGGGGAUGACGUCAAAUCAUCAUGCCCCUUAUGACCUGGGCUACACACGUGCUACAAUGGGCAGAACAAAGGGCAGCGAAGCCGCGAGGCUAAGCCAAUCCC